rnacentral:rRNA from 1 species
CCUACGGGAGGCAGCAGUGGGGAAUAUUGCACAAUGGGGGAAACCCUGAUGCAGCAACGCCGCGUGAGUGAUGAAGGUCUUCGGAUUGUAAAGCUCUGUCUUCUGGGACGAUAAUGACGGUACCAGAGGAGGAAGCCACGGCUAACUACGUGCCAGCAGCCGCGGUAAU